rnacentral:rRNA from 1 species
CUACGGGGGGCACCAGUGGGGAAUAUUGGGCAAUGGGCGCAAGCCUGACCCAGCAACGCCGCGUGGAGGAUGACGCAUUUCGGUGUGUAAACUCCUUUUAUAUGUCAAGAAAAUGACGGUAGCAUAUGAAUAAGCACCGGCUAACUCCGUGCCAGCAGCCGCGGUAAUACGGAGGGUGCAAGCGUUACUCGGAAUCACUGGGCGUAAAGGACGCGUAGGCGGGUUGGAAAGUCAGGUGUGAAAUCCUACAGCUUAACUGUAGAACUGCACUUGAAACUUCUAAUCUAGAGUAUGGGAGGGGGAGAUGGAAUUAGUGGUGUAGGGGUAAAAUCCGUAGAUAUCACUAGGAAUACCUAAAGCGAAGGCGAUCUCCUGGAACAUUACUGACGCUAAGGCGUGAAAGCGUGGGGAGCAAACAGGAUUAGAUACCCGCGUAGUC